CGCGGCUGUGCCAGCUGUGCUGCUGGUGCGGCUGCGCAGUGCUGGGACGACGCGAGUCCCGCAACCAUAGCAAACGCCUUACGAUGAAUCGGAUACUCGUGAAGAGACAGCAAGGGCUUCGCGAGACGCUGUGCGCACACUUCUCGCUACCGAAAGCCGUCUCGUUCAGGACGCAUUGAAGCGGACACAGCCUGCAGCGAAGAACAACACGACGGACAUUGCUCUACUCCACUCGGGGCGCCUGCGCAAGCAGGCGUUUGGUGAAUGGCGUCACUACGGACCCAAGCCAACAGGGGGGUUUCGACCCCCUCCCACGCCUCGCCAUGCUUGGCUUUGCUGUGUCCGAGGAAAAGGGGAUCCUGGGUGUUGAGCCGACGCAGGGUGAUUGGACCUGUAAGGCCCCCCGGCAGAGGCAACACACCCCUUUGGCCCCAGCUUCACGUAGACGGCACCCCUGGGCUGACCCACCCAGAGGAAAUCGGCAGUUGUCUUUUCCUAUCUCUGUCUCCACAUUUUCGUCUUUCUCUCUCACUUUUGAUCUUUCCUGUCCUCUUCUCUCUUCAAUUUACUUCCGUGUUUCAUGGUGGCAAGGGUUAACCUGGUGUGAAUAUCCAACCAUGAGUAGUUAGAUGAGGUUAUAGUAACAGCGUACGGCUGGCAUCGUGCACGCUUGUUGACAAGUCCAGCCGUGUCCCCUUGUUGGGCUCCAUGGUGGGCGGUUGGCGCUGUUGCCAAACACUUUCAUCUUUUUAUGGCUUCUCAAGCAUCCACUAUUUUUGAUCAGUCUCGGAAAAGAGGCCACACCGAGGCAACUUUUCAUUUCAACACACAAUCCAAAGUAUCCUUCCAAAAGUACCAUGUCAUCCAAAGCGAAGGCACACCAGUACGAAAGCUAUCUCCAUUUUUGGUGGCCAAGUGCCUGAAAGAAAGAAAUUCGACCCAAGUACAAAGUUUCGAAAAUGUCAAGCGGUCACCUGCUCCUAGAGCUAGCCGAAAAAGAACAAGUAUCAAAGCUCUCCGAACUCGCCCGCAUUGGUGACACUACCGUAACAAUUUCUGUCCACAGAUCCCUUAACACCAGCAGGGGAGGAAUAUCUGAAGAAGAUUUCUUAGGCCUAAGUGACAAGGAGCUCCUCGAGGGGUUUCAGGAUCAAGACGUCAUAAAGGUACUGCUCCGAUCAACCACAAGCAAACCAGUUUUCGAACUACAGCCUGAUGACUUAUCAGCUCAGUUUUUGCCGGACGGUGAACCUUUGUUCAACUGCUCGACAUGGGAAUCAAGCGACAUUGACCAAAACGACGGAAAUCAACGAGUGUGCCUCGCAGCUGAAAUUGGCCGCUGCCGGUCAACCAUCCGUGGACUGAUCGCACAGACGACUGCAGCCUACAAAUAGCACAGAUCUUCACUCGGCGCUUGGGGCAUGGAACCGGUGCAGAUAUGACUGCACUGCUAACGCUUACGCUGUUAUUUCUGCAGGCUGACCACCAAAACAGUGUGAAUCUGGGUCCUUAGGAGCUUGAAUGCCACCAGGUACCAAUGCUCUGCUCGUUGUGGACAAGUACUGCGACGAAGACAGCACCUGCCUUUGUGCAAUACUUCUGAAUGCUUCUUCAUUGUGACUAAUGCAAAACUGUUGUGCAAUUUAACCUUUGUUUACUUCACUCAAAUAAUAAACGAGCCCAACAAUUACAAGAGCAAGCCUGGAAGUGUUGAGACUUCAUAUUACUACUUUGACUAAAAAAUAAUAAAAAUAUAGUUUUUUAAUGCAGGAAGUUCUCGCUUUUGUUUAUUCCAAAACAAGCCAACUGCAUCUCUUAAAGGAGUGUUGACACCUAAAAUCGGACUGUAACUUGACAUGAAAAGGACUCCAGCAUAAGUUUUCAGUGCUUGCAAGGAAUGCCAUAAGGAAUCUUAACCAUUUGACACACUAUGUACACAAUUAUGUACACCACUUGAUUUUGCUAUUUGUAUCAACUAGGGGCUAAGAAACAUGAAGAUAUAUGG